rnacentral:rRNA from 1 species
AUAGAAUAAAUUAUUUUAAUAUUUUUUAAAUAAAGUAUUAUUUUGUUUUAUUAUAAUAAUAGAAAAAAUUUUUUUAAUUAUAAAUUAAAGUAUAGUGAUAGAAUUUUUAAAUAUUAUGAAAAUUUUAAAUUUUUAAAAGAAUAAUUUAUUUUUAGUACCUUGUGUAUCAGGGUUUAUCAAAAAUAUUUUAUAUAUUUUAAAUAUCUCGAUUUUAAAAGAGUUAAAUAUUUAUAUUUUUUAAUGUUAAAUAAUUAUUGUUAAUAAAUAUUUAGUAAUGAAAUGUUAUUCGUUUUUAAAUAUAUCUAGUUUUUUAAGAAAUAAAUUUAAUUUAUUUAUUGAUAAAAAUGAUUUUUAUUUAGUAAAAUUUUUUUAUUAAUAAAAAAUAUUUUAAGGGAUAAGCUUUAAAAUAAAUUUAUAUAAUAUUUUUAAUUAAAAUUAAAUGUAGGAUUAAAAAUUUCUUUCAAUAAUAAUUUGUUAUAAUUAAUUUUUUAUAAUUAUUUUUUAUAUAAUAUUUAUAUUAUUUAUUAAAAUUAUUUAUUUAAUUUAAUAAUAUUUGUAAUAAUGAUAAAAUUAGUAUAAAUUUUUGUAAAAUUAAUUAUUUAAUAAAGGUUAAUUUAAGGAAUUCGGCAAAUUAAUUUUUCGCCUGUUUAUUAAAAACAUGUCUUUUUGAUAAUAAUUUAAAGUCUAACCUGCCCAAUGAUAUAUUUAAUGGCCGCGGUAUUUUGACCGUGCAAAGGUAGCAUAAUCAUUAGUUUUUUAAUUGAAAGCUGGAAUGAAUGGUUGAACGAGAAAAUUACUGUCUCAAUUUAAUUUAAUUAGAAUUUUAUUUUUAAGUUAAAAAGCUUAAAUAUUUUUAAAAGACGAGAAGACCCUAUAGAGUUUAAUAUUUUAUAUAAUUUAAAUUUUUAUAAUUAUAUAAAUUUUAUAAAAUAUUUUAUUGGGGUGAUAAAUAAAUUUAUUAAACUUUAUUUUUAUUUUUACAUUAAUUUAUGAUUUAUUGAUCCAUUAUUUAUGAUUAAAAGAUUAAAUUACCUUAGGGAUAACAGCGUAAUUUUUUUAGAGAGUUCAAAUCGAAAAAAAAGAUUGCGACCUCGAUGUUGGAUUAAAGUUAAUUUUUGGUGUAGAAGCUAAAAAAUUAAGUCUGUUCGACUUUUAAAACUUUACAUGAUCUGAGUUUAAACCGGUGUGAGCCAGGUUGGUUUCUAUCUUUAAAUAAAUAUAAUAUUUUAGUACGAAAGGACCAAAUAUUAGUAAAAUUUAUUUUUUUUAUGAAUAUUAUU